GGUACCCAUAGCCCCGCCCCGGGACGGGACACUCUUUUCGGCGCGGGCGGCGAAAGGGGCGGAUGUUGUGCACCGCGUGGUGCGGACGGGCCUGGGACUGGUGGGGGCUCCAGGCCCUGGUGGCUCUAGGUCCAGCGGUGCGAUGGGCCCGCCCGGGCCGGGCCUGGCGGCGAGGGGCGUCCGCCGGGCCUCACUCUUGGGAUCAUCACCAACUUCUCCUGAGCCCCACAUUGGACUGAGACUUAUCAACGGGUGGCCUGACAGAGGCAGGCAGUUCCUUUCUGAUGUCUCCGUGAUGUAAAUGAAAUUGUUGAAUCUAUAAAGAAGUUAACCAAAGAAGGAGAAAUAGCUACAAGGUUCUCCCUCUGCGCUGCAAGACAAUGCUGCGAAAGGACCUGAUAAGACAGCCUGCUGCGCCGAGCAUGUUGCUUUGGGGAAGCACGUGCCCUGUGUAGCUUUGUGAGGGAGAAGGAAAGAGCUGAAGCCAAGCCCUGCUCAGGGGCACAGUGUGUGGCGGUAUUUGAGGAGGAGCUGUGUUUCCUGGGGGCAGGCAGCAAUGGAUCUCCUGGGACAGCUGCAGGGAAGGGAGACGGAUGGAAUUCUGGCCUUCAUCCAAUCCUGUCAGCACAAACGUGGUGCAGGAAGUGACAGCACAGGUCAUGGCGCUCCUCCUGUGUCGACCCUCGUCAUGCCCAGGUGGUUCCAUUUCACAACCUGUUGGGAAUUGCUGGACCAUCUCUUUUCAGAAGAACAAAUGAAGGCUGUCAGUCCUGUCUUUCGUAUGCCAGAAGAUGCCCUGCAAGAACAAAGGCACAGCGUGAGCUGUCUCACAGAGAGAAAAGGUGUCUGCCCUCUUGCCGUGGUUUGACUGCUAGAAGGUCAUCUCUGAAACCAUUACCGUAUUCUCUUUUUAAAUGUGUUUAUGUUACUGUAGUAGAGCAAAACUUUGGCCUGGGCUUUGUCGCUUUGUAAAUUGUGUAGAACAGGCUUGUUCUAAUCAUCGGAGCGUAACGUGUUGUUUCGUUGUAUACGAGGUUUAGAAACCUUUCUAAUCUGUAUCCAGAUGUGGGGCUUUGGAUGUUUUUCUGAAUAUUCACGUCAAAGCAAGAGUGUGAUUGGCUUAAUUUUUGUAUCCCUGUGAUACCAACUGUAUUAACCAUCAUCUGUCUUUAUACGAAGGUGCUUUGAUGAUGGAUUAGAGUGUACUUCAAAAGAAUCUGAAAAAAGCCCUACCUAAGCUCUGCGUUAAUGCCACACGCUUGCGUAUUCUUCCCAUUCAUGCUUGACAUGGCUUUUACACGCUGAGACACAAGCUGUUUCUUCUGAUGGUGUGAAACCAGCGAAAACAAAAAUUAUGGUUUUAAUAAGUGUAGAUAAAUGUCUUCAUUGAUUGAAGUCUCUCAGACAAGAUUUCCCUGAUAUUUUGAAUAAAGCAUACUUGAGUGUGCGUGUAUGUAGUGAAACUAGCUAAUGUUUAGCACUCCAGAGAAAGUGUCUAUAGGAGAGUGGCUUGUUAUAUAGUGUUGAUCCUAAAUUUGCUGGGUUAAAAUUCUGCUGUCAUGGCAUUUAAGACAACAUCUAAUAACAUGUUGGCAAUUAAGAAUAAAACUAGCCAUGGAAAACA